UACAGAGGUCUCAAGCGUUGUUCGGAUUUAUUGGGCGUAAAGGGUGCGUAGGCGGCGCGGUAAGUCGGGUGUGAAAUCUCGGGGCUUAACUCCGAAACUGCAUUCGAUACUGCCGUGCUAGAGGACUGGAGAGGAGACUGGAAUUUACGGUGUAGCGGUGAAAUGCGUAGAUAUCGUGAGGAACACCAGAGGCGAAGGCGGCUACCUGGACAAAUACUGACGCUCAGGCACGAAAGCGUGGGGAGCAAAAGGG
rnacentral:rRNA from 1 species